GUUAUUUGAGGUGGACAAUUUCGUGGCAUCCACACGCCGAUGGUAACGACAGGGGUAACCCGAGAGAUGCAGGAGAACGCCACGCCUGCCAAAUAAC
rnacentral:ncRNA from 1 species